UGGGGAAUCUUAGACAAUGGGCGCAAGCCUGAUCUAGCCAUGCCGCGUGAGUGAUGAAGGCCUUAGGGUCGUAAAGCUCUUUCGCUGGGGAAGAUAAUGACGGUACCCAGUAAAGAAACCCCGGCUAACUCCGUGCCAGCAGCCGCGGUAAUACGGAGGGGGUUAGCGUUGUUCGGAAUUACUGGGCGUAAAGCGCGCGUAGGCGGACUGGAAAGUUAGGGGUGAAAUCCCGGGGCUCAACCUCGGAACUGCCCUUAAAACUCCCAGUCUUGAGUUCGAGAGAGGUGAGUGGAAUUCCGAGUGUAGAGGUGAAAUUCGUAGAUAUUCGGAGGAACACCAGUGGCGAAGGCGGCUCACUGGCUCGAUACUGACGCUGAGGUGCGAAAGUGUGGGGAGCAAACAGGAUUAGAUACCCCCGUAGUCC
rnacentral:rRNA from 1 species